UACAGAGGGUGCAAGCGUUAAUCGGAAUUACUGGGCGUAAAGCGUGCGUAGACGGUUACAUAAGUCGGCUGUGAAAGCCCGGGGCUCAACCCAGAGCCUGCAUUCAAUACUGACAGGCUAGAGUUCUGGAGGGGAUAGCGGAAUUCCUGGUGUAGCGGUGAAAUGCGUAGAUAUCAGGAGGAACACCGAUGGCGAAGGCAGUUCUCUGGGCCGUAACUGACGCUGAGGAGCGAAAGCGUGGGGAGCGAACAGG
rnacentral:rRNA from 1 species